AGUGAACGCUGGCGGUAGGCCUAACACACGCAAGUCGAACGGCAGCACAGUAAGAGCUUGCUCUUACGGGUGGCGAGUGGCGGACGGGUGAGGAAUACAUCGGAAUCUACUUUUUCGUGGGGGAUAACGUAGGGAAACUUACGCUAAUACCGCAUACGACCUACGGGUGAUAGCAGGGGAUCUUCGGACCUUGCGCGAUUGAAUGAGCCGAUGUCGGAUUAGCUAGUUGGCGGGGUAAAGGCCCACCAAGGCGACGAUCCGUAGCUGGUCUGAGAGGAUGAUCAGCCACACUGGAACUGAGACACGGUCCAGACUCCUACGGGAGGCAGCAGUGGGGAAUAUUGGACAAUGGGCGCAAGCCUGAUCCAGCCAUACCGCGUGGGUGAAGAAGGCCUUCGGGUUGUAAAGCCCUUUUGUUGGGAAAGAAAAGCAGCAGGUUAAUACCCCGCUGUUCUGACGGUACCCAAAGAAUAAGCACCGGCUAACUUCGUG
rnacentral:rRNA from 1 species